rnacentral:rRNA from 1 species
AACGAACGCUGGCGGCAGGCUUAACACAUGCAAGUCGAACGCCCCGCAAGGGGAGUGGCAGACGGGUGAGUAACGCGUGGGAAUCUACCCAGUUCUGCGGAACAACAGUUGGAAACGACUGCUAAUACCGCAUACGCCCUACGGGGGAAAGAUUUAUCGGAAUUGGAUGAGCCCGCGUUGGAUUAGCUAGUUGGUGGGGUAAUGGCCUACCAAGGCGACGAUCCAUAGCUGGUCUGAGAGGAUGAUCAGCCACACUGGGACUGAGACACGGCCCAGACUCCUACGGGAGGCAGCAGUGGGGAAUAUUGGACAAUGGGCGCAAGCCUGAUCCAGCCAUGCCGCGUGAGUGAUGAAGGCCUUAGGGUUGUAAAGCUCUUUCAGUAGGGACGAAGCGGAAGUGACGGUACCUGCAGAAGAAGCUCCGGCUAACUACGUGCCAGCCGCCGCCGUAA